UCCACUUUGGUUUAGUGGUUAAAGCGCCCACAGUUUGAUUGGUUAGACUCGGGAGAUCGUGGGUUCGAUUCCCGCGAAGUGGCA